AAAGACAUCACAAUAAACCACACCACUCCAGUCCAGUCCAUCAAUUAACAUCUUGUGAAGUGAAAAAACUGCAUGUUUAUAACAAAAUAAUAAUGCUUCCUUAUUUUGACGGCACCCAUUCACUGCAGAGUAUCCACUGGUGAGCAAGUGAUGUAAUGCUGCAUUUCUCCAAAUCUGUUCUGAUGAAGAAACAAACUCAUCUUCAUCUUCGAUUGCCUGAGGGAGAGUAUAUUUUCAGCUAAUUUUCAUUUUUGGGUGAAUUAUUAAUUAACGUUUAUACUGAAGUAUAUAGUUGCUAGUAUGCAAAUUGGGAUUCAUACUAGUUUUGCAAAACUAAUUAAAAGCAUGGUAGCUUAAUGGAAUGUAAAUGAUUAUGAAAAUCAGCAUUUAAAGUCAGAUGCAACAGGAAGUAAGAAAGUGCAAAUAAAUGUUCAGGUUUCAUGGUUGUUUGCUUAUGUAGAAACAACUACUAAGAAAUCUGUUUGUAGCUGAAACAGCUUCUGACAUUAGGAAACAUUUUUAACAGUAAUCAAGUUAAAAAUGACAAUCGAUGCAAAUAAAAGACUUUUCUUAAAGUGACAGUAUACCCAAAAAUGAGAACUCUGAGUUGCUUUUUUCCACACAGAGAAACUGAAAAAUUAAUUUACACUGCUGAACUCCAAAACGUACCAUUAACGUAUAAUAAAAUUGGUUUAUAGUACUCGAGCACUUGCAUGAGGACCAAACCAAAUCUCAAGCCGUUAUUCAUUUUUGGGUGAAUUAUUUCUUUAGCUUGUAAACUCGUGUCUGAUGGAUUAAAACAAGCCUUUAACCUUCAUCAAAAGCAUGUCAAACUUGGUAAGUGCUAAACGAAUGAGCGAUGUUCAUUCAAUCACCUGAGGCCUUUCCUUCAUUAGUCUGUCUGGAGAUGUGAGGGGAGGACAGGAGAACAGCAGCAGGAAACAUGUGUGUGUGUGUGUGUUUGUUGAGAUCAGGCCUCGGACUCUUGCUCGUCUGGUCCGGCUGCUUCCGCUUCGUCUCCCGUCUCACUCUCCAGCAGCAAAAACUUGCCGUCGUUCGUCAGGGGCAUCGACUUCAUCAGCUGGUGACCAUCAGGUGGGAUUCGGUGGUUUUGAAGAUGUUGUGAAUUGCACGAGCGGCGAGAACCUGCCUCAUGGCUUCAUAGAUCACGUCCUGUGUGUGACCGGCCCGAACGGCCAUCGAACCCAAGAACCGCACGGCAAACACCUGCUGCAGGAGCGAAUCUGGGAUAUUUUACAGAAAAUAAAAAUCAAGUUACCUUUUACAAAAAGAAAAGCCUAUUUUAGGAACCUAAUGUUUAAUAAUGACAUUUAAUAAGCUCAUUAUCAUACUGUCUACAGAAAGAAUCA
rnacentral:lncRNA from 1 species